UACGGAGGGUGCAAGCGUUAUCCGGAUUUACUGGGUUUAAAGGGUGCGUAGGUGGGUAGGUAAGUCAGUGGUGAGAUCUUCGAGCUUAACUCGGAAACUGCCAUUGAUACUAUUUAUCUUGAAUACUCUGGAGGUAAGCGGAAUAUGUCAUGUAGCGGUGAAAUGCUUAGAUAUGACAUAGAACACCAAUUGCGAAGGCAGCUUACUACAUAGUUAUUGACACUGAGGCACGAAAGCGUGGGGAUCAAACAGG
rnacentral:rRNA from 1 species